rnacentral:rRNA from 1 species
GCUUAGAAGCAGCCAUCCUUUAAAGAUAGCGUAACAGCUCACUGGUCUAAAUAAGCUGUCUUGCGGCGAAGAUGUAACGGGGCUCAAGCCAUGAGCCGAAGCUGAGGAUGCACAUAGUGCAUGGUAGCGGAGCGUAGUGUGACAUAGUUCCAUGCGUCUUUAGCCUUCUUCGGAAGGCGUUGGACGCAAGGAGCUUUCAGUGAAGCGGGCGCGUGAGCGAUCCCGUGGAGAGAUCACUAGUGAGAAUGAUGACAUGAGUAGCGACAAACAGGGUGAGAGACCCUGUCGCCGAAAGUCCAAGGGUUCCUGCUUAAAGCUAAUCUGAGCAGGGUAAGCCGACCCCUAAGUCGAGGCCGAAAGGCGUAGACGAUGGGAACCAGGUUAAUAUUCCUGGGCCAGGAGGAUUGUGACGGAUCUCGAAGGUAGUUCAUCCUUAUCGGAUUGAAUGGGCUGCUUAGAGGUUCCUGGAAAUAGCACCUCCAUAAGAUCGUACCCUAAACCGACACAGGUGGACUGGUAGAGAAUACCAAGGCGCUUGAGAGAACUAUGUUGAAGGAACUCGGCAAAAUACCUCCGUAAGUUCGCGAGAAGGAGGCCCGGUUUCUAGGCAACUGGAAGCUGGGGGCACAAACAAGGGGGUGGCGACUGUUUACUAAAAACACAGGGCUCUGCGAAGUCGCAAGACGACGUAUAGGGUCUGACGCCUGCCCGGUGCCUGAAGGUUAAAAGGAGGGGUGAGAGCUCUGAAUUGAAGCCCAGGUAAACGGCGGCCGUAACUAUAACGGUCCUAAGGUAGCGAAAUUCCUUGUCGGGUAAGUUCCGACCUGCACGAAUGGCGUAACGACUUCCCCGCUGUCUCCAACGUAGACUCAGCGAAAUUGAAUUGCCUGUCAAGAUGCAGGCUUCCCGCGGUUAGACGGAAAGACCCCGUGCACCUUUACUACAGCUUCACAUUGGCAUUAGGCCGAGCAUGUGCAGGAUAGGUGGUGGGCUUUGAAGCGUGAACGCCAGUUUGCGUGGAGCCUCCCUUGAGAUACCACCCUUGCUCUGCUUGAUGUCUAACCGCGGUCCAUUAUCUGGAUCCGGGACCCUGUGUGGCGGGUAGUUUGACUGGGGCGGUCGCCUCCUAAAGCGUAACGGAGGCGCGCGAAGGUUGGCUCAGAGCGGUCGGAAAUCGCUCGUUGAGUG